GAUGAACGCUGGCGGCGUGCCUAAUACAUGCAAGUCGAGCGAACGGACGAGAAGCUUGCUUCUCUGAUGUUAGCAGCGGACGGGCGAGUAACACGUGGAUAACCUACCUAUAAGACUGGGAUAACUUCGGGAAACCGUAGCUAAUACCGGAUAAUAUUUUGAACCGCAUGGUUCAAAAGUGAAAGACGGUCUUGCUGUCACUUAUAGAUGGAUCCGCGCUGCAUUAGCUAGUUGGUAAGGUAACGGCUUACCAAGGCAACGAUGCAUAGCCGACCUGAGAGGGUGAUCGGCCACACUGGAACUGAGACACGGUCCAGACUCCUACGGGAGGCAGCAGUAGGGAAUCUUCCGCAAUGGGCGAAAGCCUGACGGAGCAACGCCGCGUGAGUGAUGAAGGUCUUCGGAUCGUAAAACUCUGUUAUUAGGGAAGAACAUAUGUGUAAGUAACUGUGCACAUCUUGACGGUACCUAAUCAGAAAGCCACGGCUAACUACGUG
rnacentral:rRNA from 1 species